GACGAACGCUGGCGGCGUGCUUAACACAUGCAAGUCGAGCGGAAAGGCGCUGAUUUUGUGGGGUGCUCGUGUGGCGAACGGGUGAGUGUAACGUGAGUAACAUGCCCUUGAAUGAGGGAUAACAUCUGGGAACUGGGGCUAAUACCGGAUAGGAGCUCCUGAUGCAUGGUGGGGGUUGGAAAGUUUCGGCGGUUGGGGAUGGACUCGCGGCUUAUCAGCUUGUUGGUGGGGUAGUGGCUUACCAAGGGUUUGACGGGUAGCCCGCCUUAGAGGGUGACCGGGCACAAGGGUACUGAGAGACGGCCCAGAAUCCAACGUGAGGCAGCAGGGGGGAAUAUUGCACAAUGGGCGGACGUGUGAUGUAGCAACCCCGCGUUCGUGAUGAUGUCUUUCGGGGUGUAAACCGCUGUCGCCUUUGAUGAAGCGUGAUUGACGGUAAUUAGUAAAGAAGCACCGGCUAACUACGUG
rnacentral:rRNA from 1 species